GGAGGUGCAAAUACCACCCAAAGAGUGGCGGCAACAUCUCAUCGCUGGCUAAUGGCAAAUUAGCGAGAUGCACCGCCACCUCAAUCAUAUUCAGCUUCCAACGAGUUUGAUGCUUUGGAUGACCAUUAGUGUCCAUUAGUGUCAUAUCGAUAAGGAUUUGUGUUCGUGGGUGGAUCAAGUGUAUCGGGUUUGUUAGUUCAGUGGUGG
rnacentral:lncRNA from 1 species